AUUGAACGCUGGCGGCAUGCUUUACACAUGCAAGUCGAACGGUAACAGGCCGCAAGGUGCUGACGAGUGGCGCACGGGUGAGUAAUGCAUCGGAACGUGCCCAGUCGUGGGGGAUAACUACUCGAAAGAGUAGCUAAUACCGCAUACGAUCUAUGGAUGAAAGCGGGGGACCGUAAGGCCUCGCGCGAUUGGAGCGGCCGAUGUCAGAUUAGGUAGUUGGUGGGGUAAAGGCUCACCAAGCCAACGACCUGUAGCUGGUCUGAGAGGACGACCAGCCACACUGGGACUGAGACACGGCCCAGACUCCUACGGGAGGCAGCAGUGGGGAAUUUUGGACAAUGGGCGCAAGCCUGAUCCAGCAAUGCCGCGUGCAGGAAGAAGGCCUUCGGGUUGUAAACUGCUUUUGUACGGAACGAAACGGCUCUGGUUAAUACCCGGGGCUAAUGACGGUACCGUAAGAAUAAGCACCGGCUAACUACGUG
rnacentral:rRNA from 1 species